GAGGUAGCCUUGGCGACUUUCGAGACUACCCAGGCCGAGCACACCCAGCCCCCUCAGACCCAGGCAUUUCUGCGUCCUCUGGUUUGGAGGGAACCCAGGGGGCUGAGGUGAAGCAAGCCAGGACUGUUUCUCUGACUCUUCUGGAAGACGACCCGCUGCUCGGGCCGCCUCAUCACUGCGGGCCACGAGUGCCCUUCUUCAUUCCAGACAUGGUGCUUUGAACAAUUUGACUUGGAGGCAAGAUUGCGAUAUAGAAAAUGGGCCACUGUGGAGGAGAUAAGUAAAUGCUUUGUCGCUUCUAAGUGACAGGGGAAACUGAUCACGAUUGGUAUACUUCUGACAUGUAACUUUCUAUAUCUUUAGAAGAUCGUCAGGGAAAUAGAAAAAAAAAUCUGAAAUCUCCAAGUAGGUUCUACUUUGUGUGGUUCCAACUAAAUGAACUAAAUUUGUGUUUAAAGAUUGUAAGUCUACAUGUAAUGGUGAAAGCUGAAGGUUUUACACUGCACAGAAAUAGUGAUUUCCCCCCGUGGAGGGCAAGAAGACCGGAAUAGGAGGGGUGGGUGGGGGAAUCAAUGUGUAGGCCAAAUAUUUGAAAUUUCAGUGCAAUCUUCUUAGUCAUCACUUUCAUUUCUGUCUUCUAGGGAAAUCUGACACAGCUAGAAAGCAAUGGAAAACACUAAGAGUUGCAUCAGAUGUUGAAGAGGAACUGAUAUUAUGGGAUAAAAAAUGAUUCUUUAAGGGAGAUAACUGGUCAUUUAAAGGUAGCAGCCUUUUUGGGAAAAGCUAACAAGUGUUCCCGAGGCCAGCCUGUCUCUUGUUAGCAACAUUGGCCCUGUGUUAGAAGGAAGAGUGGAUGUGUUUUGAUGCUAUUCCUUUUCCUCUCAGCAUAAAUUUGCAAGCAUGUACUGUAAAUGAAUUUUCAUGUCUUUUCAGGAUGUUUCCCUAUAGAGCAGUUUCUAGAUUGACUCUGUGGAACAGUCUACAAUAGAUUUAAUAUGGUUAGGAUUUUGCCUAAUUCUGAUUGUAGGUCUGGGUGAGGCCUGAGAGUCUGCAUUUUCAAUAAGCAUCUAGAUAGUGCCUGCUGUUUAUGGACUACACUUUGAAUAACAAGGACUUAGAAGAUGAAGAACAAAGAGCUUCAUAUAGAUCAGCAACACUCUUUGGUGUUCUUCCUCCUGUGUUCAAGUCAGUGAUUACAUAUCCUUUUUGGACCUCAGUUUCCAGUCCUGCCAAAUAAGGGACUAAGGCUGGAUCAUGUUUCAAGCUGUCCUGAAGAGACCUCUAACUCUGCAGAGAAGCCUCAGGACCCCACCCCCUCACCCCAAGAAAAGUGUGAGGCUAGUGUGAGGAGGAAGAGGAGCAGAGAAGCCAAUGGAGAAGGAACUAUUCUUUAGAAAGGUUUCAACGGUGACCUGCCAACAGCUCCCAAAUCUACAGGUUUCACCCAAUUUUUGACUCAUGACCUGUUGACAACCUCCGCCUGGAUAUGUCAUGGGUUUCCUCAAAACCCAACAUUUACAAAACUGAACAUCCUCAAAACAUCUUCCCUUUCUCACCAUUCCUCUCAGUUAACAGCAUCUCCAUAUACUCCAUCACUUGGGUGGAACAUAUCAGAGUCCACUUAGCUUUCUUCACAAGCCUUUAAUGGAGGAAAUAUUUAUUGAGUAUCUACCAUGUGCCACCCACUGUGCCAACCACUGUCCAUAUGAUGGUGAAUAACCAAGACAAGGGCUUGCUCUCAUGGAGCUUGCAGUCUUGUGGAGAAAAAGAUAAUAGAAAGUAAAGACAUACUUUACUUUCAGGUAGUGAGUAGUGCUGAAAAUAAAGCAGUGGGAGAGAGAGUGAUAGUGGAAGCUACUUUAGAAAAUGUAGCCAGAGAGGGCCUCUCAGAGAGACCACUUGAAUGAUGAGAAGGGCCGUGAAAAGAAGGGGGAUGAUAAAGGAAACUGCAAGUACCUGAGCCCUGAGACAGUUAAAAAAAACAUCUGAGAGACCAGUGUCUGGAGUUUGGGCUGAGCAGAGAUGAACUUGGCCAAACCACGCUGGACUUGUACAAUGUGGUAAAAAUGAUGGAUUUAACUGCACUUUAUCUUAAUAUAUCUCUUUUAUCAACACCUUCCUUUCCACGCUCCCAGCCGCAUUGUUUAUCAAGAACCUGUUACAUUUCACUUGACUAUUUACCUUCUCAACUUUUCCAACUCCUCUUCCUCAGGCACCUUUGCUGGCUCUUCUCUUUCUCUCUUUACCCGCUAUCUCUCAGCAGGCCUCAGACUUCUCUCCUGUCUCUCCCAAGAGUGCUACCCUAGACCAGCCUGCCUCAGAUUCUGUUUCGGCCUAGAAGGGCCAAACAUCUGGUUUGUCAUCUUCCUUGGGUUUUAGCACAUUAUCACACACACAUUAGGUCUUAGCACAUUAUUAGAACUCGCAAAUCCCUUAUUUGAUAGAAGAACUGAUUUCCUUUUUAACCCUAAUUCCUCUCCCCUACCCCCAUUUGAAUGUGUAUCUUUUCAUUUGGAUGUGUUCUUGUGGAAUGUCCAUUUUAUUUGUAUGCACUUAUUUUAAAUUCUGUAAAUGAUAUUAUAGUAUCCCUUC
rnacentral:lncRNA from 1 species